CCUCGCCCAGGCCUCCCUCUGCACCUCGUGGGUCUCAGGCUGGGAAUCCCGGGUCCCUGCUCUCGUCCAUGGGCAAGUGUGACCCCCAGCACUGCCUCCUGAGCCCCCCAGUCAUGUGACACCGAGGCUGGCUCACAGGGAACUCCAGAGGCGGGCUGGGGCUGCUCUUUCCUUCAGCAGGUGGGGGCUGCCGCCUCCCCUAGUUCUCUGGGCACAGCGCUUUGAGCCUAUUAACCAGCUGCUGCCUGAAUAAGGCCGUGGUUCAUCCCUCAGCCCUCCAUCCAGCACACUUGCAUUUCACCAGCAGAAUCUUUUCCUCUGGGAACGUGCUGGUGUGGAUUGCAUAGCGUCCCACCCCUGGAGCCUCUCUUUUCUCAUCUGAUCAGUGGGGGACACAGACUCGUGAGGAGCAAGCUCCUGGAGGCAGGGAGACCCUGGGGAGACCUGCAGAAGUGUCCUCAAGUGCUCCAGCGUGGCGCAGGACAAACACAUCCCAGGCCGUGUUUCACUGCUUUGAAUGUUGAUCUGUCAGACUGCACGUCAUACCCACAUUCGGGCACACGCACGCACGUUCGCAGUUUAGAGUGCCGUCCUGAGCGUUACUCGGUCAGCCUGGACCCCAUCGGCCUGUUUCUCGCUGUUGGCUGGCAACAUGGCGUUGACUGCAG
rnacentral:lncRNA from 1 species